AUGUCUCGCAUGGUCUCCCUUGGCAGUAGAAGCGGUGCUGCUGGGUGCAACCGCAAGGUCUCCUUCACCACCAUCCUGAGGGUCCGGUGCGGCAUCGGGCCGAGCUGGUGCAGGUUGCCAAGGAGGGGCACCCUCGCAGGGCCUGUUUACACGAGAUGA
rnacentral:rRNA from 1 species